rnacentral:rRNA from 1 species
GACGAACGCUGGCGGCGUGCCUAAUACAUGCAAGUAGAACGCUGAAGAGAGGAGCUUGCUCUUCUUGGAUGAGUUGCGAACGGGUGAGUAACGCGUAGGUAACCUGCCUUGUAGCGGGGGAUAACUAUUGGAAACGAUAGCUAAUACCGCAUAACAAUGGAUGACACAUGUCAUUUAUUUGAAUGGGGCAAUUGCUCCACUACAAGAUGGACCUGCGUUGUAUUAGCUAGUAGGUGAGGUAAUGGCUCACCUAGGCGACGAUACAUAGCCGACCUGAGAGGGUGAUCGGCCACACUGGGACUGAGACACGGCCCAGACUCCUACGGGAGGCAGCAGUAGGGAAUCUUCGGCAAUGGGGGCAACCCUGACCGAGCAACGCCGCGUGAGUGAAGAAGGUUUUCGGAUCGUAAAGCUCUGUUGUAAGUCAAGAACGGGUGUGAGAGUGGAAAGUUCACACUGUGACGGUAGCUUACCAGAAAGGGACGGCUAACUACGUG